GGAGGGCACAGCUCAGGGGUGGAGCACGUGCUUCACAUGCAUGAGGUCCUGGGUUCCAUCCCCAGCACCUCCA
rnacentral:tRNA from 1 species